CCUACGGGUGGCAGCAGUGAGGAAUAUUGGUCAAUGGCCGAGAGGCUGAACCAGCCAAGUCGCGUGAGGGAAGACGGCCCUACGGGUUGUAAACCUCUUUUGGCGGGGAGCAAAGCGAGUCACGUGUGACUCAUUGAGAGUACCCGAAGAAAAAGCAGCGGCUAACUCCGUGCCAGCAGCCGCGGUAAUAAGGAGGAUGCGAGCGUUAUCCGGAUGUAUUGGGUUUAAAGGGUGCGCAGGCGGAGGUGCAAGUCAGCGGUCAAAUUGCGGGGCUCAACCCCGUACUGCCGUUGAAACUGCAUCCGUUGAGAGCGCGAGAAGUAUGCGGAAUGCGUGGUGUAGCGGUGAAAUGCAUAGAUAACACGCAGAACUCCGAUUGCGAAGGGAGCAUACCGGCGCGCAACUGACGCUCAUGAACGAAAGCGUGGGUAUCGAACAGGAUUAGAUACCCCUGUAGUC
rnacentral:rRNA from 1 species